rnacentral:lncRNA from 1 species
CUGGCCGGGAGCGGCUGAGUCACGGUGAAGCAUCUCAGCGCAGGCUCAGCUAGGCUGUCGUGAGCGUGGAAUCUGAGUCAGAGUGCCGUCCCCGCGGCCUCACGGCGUGCCCCUCAGGGAAUCUCCGGGACGGAGCAGCACAGGCCCCCAAGAGAGAGGCGGGUGGGGAGACCGCUGCGUUGGGUCACCUAGAGGGGUGAAAGAGACGCUGACAGCAGGGAAGCUGGGUGAAGGAUAAGGGGGAGUCCUUGGAGCAGUCGCUGCCGCUUUCUGCCAGUCUGAAAUGAUUCCGUGUGAAAAGGUGGGGUGUGCAGGGACCUUAUUGCCAGGUGACAUUUUUAUUUAUCCUGGUUGCCAGCAGCCAGGAAAACUAGUAACUGAAGAGCACUAGGAUUGGACCCUCCCUCAUUUACUUGAAUAACUUCCUGAGUAGGACAUGAAAGCAUAUUGUGAGUUGUAUGUAUUCACCCAAAACUCCACACUUCAAUAACCAUGUAACUACAGUUGAAGAUGUCUGAUUCACGGAAGUAUUGGCAUCCAGGACGAUGAUCAGUUCUGCUGAGGCACCACAUGGUCAUCUGAAACAGAAAGGCAGGAAAUAUACCUGUUCUGAGUCUAAAUCUCUGUUCUAUCCUUCAUGGGAGAAAUAGGAAAAUUGUUUUGGACCAACUUGGCACAUUCAUGGCCACCAUCUCUGCCUUUGUCCAGGAUGGGCAGAUACUCUUGCUGUGGCUUGGAAAGCCAUUUGUCCUUUUUUACUAAGGAGUGAUUCUACUUGUCCUGGACCAUUUAUGUUAUUUCUGCAUUGGAAAUGUUAUUCUUGAUUCCAAAUGUGGUUCUGACCCAAGCCCCCCUGGUCCCCACCUCAAGGUUCCCAGACUUCUUCUGUCACAAGGACUGAGUAAAGAACCUCGUCCUGUGCGAGUAACAAUGGCAUCAAGUGAUGAGUUUGUUCCCAACUUUGUUUUGGUCCCCCAGUGGGUUCUGAAUAAGUAAUAUUCCUCCCGAGUUCCUGGUGACUGGAUGUGCAUUCCUGGCCAGGCCCCUUUGCUACCUCUCCAAUCUCAGUGUUAAAUAUUAAAGCCCUGAGCCCUGGUGGCUCUGUUCAGAGGCUGCAGCAGUGUUUUUGUAGAAUA